CCCCUUAGAGUUUGAUCAUGGCUCAGGAUGAACGCUAGCGGCAGGCUUAAUACAUGCAAGUCAGGGGGCCAGCAAUGGCACCGGCGGACGGGUGAGUAACGCGUACACAACGUACCUUUAACUGGGGGAUAGCAUCUGGAAACGGGUGGUAAUACCGCAUGUGGUUGCGGGGAGGCAUCUCCUUGUAACUAAAACUUUGGUGGUUAGAGAUCGGUGUGCGUCUGAUUAGCUAGUUGGUAGGGUAGAGGCCUACCAAGGCGACGAUCAGUAGGGGGCGUGAGAGCGUGAACCCCCACACGGGUACUGAGACACGGACCCGACUCCUACGGGAGGCAGCAGUAAGGAAUAUUGGUCAAUGGAGGGAACUCUGAACCACCCAUGCCGCGUGAAGGAAGAAGGCGCUACGCGUUGUAAACUUCUGUUGGGUGGGACGAAAAUAAUCCAUUUAUGGAUAGCUGACGGUACCAUCAGAAUAAGCACCGGCUAACUCCGUGCCAGCAGCCGCGGUAAUACGAAGGGGGCUAGCGUUGCUCGGAAUGACUGGGCGUAAAGGGCGCGUAGGCGGAUUGAUUAGUUAGGCGUGAUAUUCCUGGGCUUAACCUGGGGGCUGCGCUUAAUACAGUCAGUCUAGAGUAUAGGAAAGAGGGGUCGUGAAUCUCCCAGGUGUAGAAGGUGAAAUUCAUAGAUAUUGGAGAAGACACCGGGUGGGCGAAGGGCAGCGACCUGCUCUAUUACUGACGCUGAGCGCGAAAGCGUGGAGAGCAAACAGAUAAUACCUGUAGUCCAGCAGUAACGAUGUUGCUGAAGAGUGUGGGUGCCUAACCUUUCAGUGUCGUAGCUACGCGAUAGCAACGCUGAGGAGUACGCCGUAGUUGAACCAGUAUCGACGACGCAUCGUGGAUGUAUGGUUUCAUCGAGUGACACGCAAAUCUGUACCUACCGCA
rnacentral:rRNA from 1 species